rnacentral:rRNA from 1 species
CCUACGGGAGGCAGCAGUGGGGAAUAUUGCACAAUGGGGGAAACCCUGAUGCAGCGACGCCGCGUGAGUGAAGAAGCGUUUCGGCGCGUAAAGCUCUGUCAGCGGGGAAGAAACACGGUUCGCGAGAGCCGCGGACGGUACCCGACCAAGAAGCCCCGGCUAACUACGUGCCAGCAGCCGCGGUAAUACGUAGGGGGCGAGCGUUGUCCGGAAUGACUGGGCGUAAAGGGAGUGUAGGCGGCUCUUUAAGUUAUAUGUGAAAUCCCGCGGCUUAACCGUGGAAGUGCAUAUAAAACUGGGGAGCUGGAGUGCAGGAGAGGUGAGUGGAAUUCCUAGUGUAGCGGUGGAAUGCGUAGAUAUUAGGAAGAACACCGGUGGCGAAGGCGGCUCACUGGACUGUAACUGACGCUGAGGCUCGAAAGCGUGGGGAGCAAACAGGAUUAGAUACCCCUGUAGUC